UCCCUCCCCCUCCCCCACCCCACGGCAGACCAUAAGCGCGCGAGGGGCGGCAUCAACUUAUGUCGCUGAUGGAAUAACCUCUGCUGCUCGUGGCUCCCUGGCUCUCUGUUAGCAAGAACAGGCACAAUUGUGGCACUCAUACAAGUCAACAGCCUGUAUUUAAUGGUGCACAAAAGGGUUGUACACGAUUAGUCAUUUUCUCAGAUUUUAGUGUGAGUCCUUACUGACAAAUGCAUGGUAGAUUCAUCAGUGCUCCACUGGCCCUUUCUCUGCAGCUUCCUUUUGGGUGUAUUUUCUAGGCACAUAGUUCAUCUCUAUAAUGGCUAGAUUGAGAUUACAGUCACUGUGAACCACAAAGGUACUCAUGCUUCGAUGGAAACCAGCCGGUAGUAUACUACAUGAUACAUAAGGGAUGUAAGAAACUAGGAUCAAACUUAAUCUAAUCUAAAAGAGAACAAUUUGGCAAGUAGCAACAUGAAUAGAGUGAAUUAGUAAAAUUCACUAUUUGUGAUGGAUAUGUCUUCUCCUUGAACAGAUAUGAGCAGCCGGUAGUAUUUGUUCAUCACCAUUUUUUUUUGCAUAUAUGGGUAGUAGAUAAAUGUCUUCAUAAGGAAUUCUACAUCAAUGGUGUGCUACAGUAAUAGAGAUAUAUUUAUUUACUCAUGUUUUGCUAACCGUCGCAAAGGGCGGGCACAUAUACAACAAGUAUAUUGUUUCACCUGUUGAGCACUCAUGAUUGUACCCGUACAACAAGUAUCUGUAGUUCUGACCUAUGAGUUGAGUAUUUACAUAGUGAUUUGUAUUAAUAUAUAUUUCCCUCAGGCACUGGAAGAUCUAAAUUGCAAUUCUGAGCACUCCCUGAUUGUACACAUGCAACAAGUCUUAUAGUUCUUUCAUAAGAGUUGAGUGUUUCCAUAUAAAUUUUGUACUAAUAGAUAUUCCCAUCAGCUGGUGAAAUGUCCAAUUUUGUGGAUCACUUCAUUUUGCAACUAUGAUCUAUCUAUAAUAUUUUUCGAGUUGUCAAUAUUGUAUUCAUGACAUGAGGAAUAUUCGUUGAAUUAAAUCUGAGCCUACAAGUGAUAUUGUUAUCUCUGUUUGUCUCAUUUGUUGAGCAAUGAUGUUAUUUUUAGUUCUUCUUGUUGAGCAAUUCCAUGGUAGAUCCCGGGCUUACACUGAACAUUGCAACGCCUCGCCUCGCCUCUCAACAGCGCCGCCGUACUGCCUGCACAGCCUUCCGAGUCAAGGUGUUGGUGAUGCCCUUCUUCCAUGAUGAUGAUUUGGCAGUGAUUUUGGCGUGGGUGUGACAUCUCUCCUUCUGCUCCUUCCAAUCUCUCAAAUUGAUUGUCUGUAUCUCAGUUGAUCUUCUGGUGAGGAAUCAUCUGGGAGGGGGACGACGAGGACCUGGCCCUUGUUCGUGGUGGUGUUUCAUGUUCUGAUAGUUUGUCGUUUGGCGUCAGGAAGUCAAGAACAGAGCAACCAUAUACCAGGAGGGAAUAUAACAUGCUGACAUUGCCAAUAUCUUCAAAGGAUGUUGAGCCUUCAAAACAAAUGUAUUUUACUAACUUUUUUCUAUUCUAUCCAGUUGUUGGAGCCUUCUAAACAAAUGUAUCAUUUUACCACAAGGUCUUCUUAUACCAGGUUACUAAAUGCGUGUUAUUCUUAUACUGGUAAACUUUUUCUUUAACAGUGGCACAGUGUAUUGACUUAAUUCUUGGAAUAUUCUGUGGUUGCAACUGUAUUUCAGUUUGGAUGCAGUUACAAUUAUUUCAUGGCUAAUGACAUGCUAGAUUUUCCAGACUUCUGGGAGUGUUGUACAUAUGCAGAUUCUUAUGAAGGUGCAUGUCAUCAAUUUCUGGCUUCCUUUUAUCUUGGCAGCUACUGUUCAUAUUUUUCGGACACAUAUAAUCUUUGGUGGUCAGUCUAUUUGCCCACGAAUGAACUUCCAUAAUUUAAUAAUUUGGUCCUCUAUCUAUGGUAGUACUAUCAACUGUCAUUUUCAUGAAACCAUAUGUUAUGUUCAUUUAUUUUCUGUGCUUUGUAGGAUAUGUUCAGUCAGAUGAUGACAUACAAUUAUGUAUCUUGUUCUUCGGGAGGUUUCGUAUGCUUGAAAGUUACCGUUUCCUGUCAUGAAGAUUAGAUUUUUCUAUACACGAACGAUACAGUUUGUUCAAGUUGGAUGCCAGUGGUGUCUUGGCUUUGGUAGAAGUGCCCAAAACCUGAAGAUUUUGUCAUUUUGUUUACAUGAACUCAGUUUUCAUACAAGUCUUCCCCUGUCUGUUGUUUACAUUCAGCUAACUUGGCUAUCUAUUUGCUAGGAUUAGUUGUAGAUGGGAGACUUGCCUAUUUGUUAGGUUUUUUUUUGAGGAUCGCCUAUUUGUUUAGAUGAAUUGAGGCUUUCCCGUUUUCCAGAAUGGAGUGUGGGCCUUGACUACAAAAUCUUCAUGUUGGCCAAAUUUAGGGUUGCUGUAUUAGGCACAUCUUAUUUCAAUCAGUACCUAUAGUUUCAGCUCAUAGCUUAUGAAAUUUCUCUUACCUCGGAAAGUAUGGUACCAUGUCAAAUAAUGAAUGUAAUCUUGGUUUUUUUUUUGUUGUC